rnacentral:rRNA from 1 species
AGAGUUUGAUCCUGGCUCAGAAUGAACGUUGGCGGCGUGGAUUAGGCAUGCAAGUCGAGCGGUAAGGCCCCUUCGGGGGUACACGAGCGGCGGAAGGGUCAGUAAUGCGUGGGUACCUACCUCGGGGUUCGGGACAACCGUGCUAACGCGCGGCUAAUACCGAAUAAUGUCCCCGGACCAAAGGUGUGAUUCCGCCCGGAGACGGGCCCGCGUCCUAUUAGCUAGUUGGUAAGGUAAUGGCUUACCAAGGCGAAGAUGGGUAGCAGGUGUGAGAGCACGACCUGCGACACUGGGACUGAGAUACUGCCCAGACACCUACGGGUGGCUGCAGUCGAGAAUCUUCUGCAAUGGGCGCAAGCCUGACAGAGCGACGCCGCGUGCGGGAUGAAGGCCUUCGGGUUGUAAACCGCUGUCAGUGGGGAGCAAAUUCUAGGGGGUUCUCCCUCUAGUUUGAGCUAUCCGCAGAGGAAGCUCGGGCUAAGUUCGUGCCAGCAGCCGCGGUAAGACGAACCGAGCAAACGUUAUUCGGAAUCACUGGGCUUAAAGAGUCCGUAGGCGGCGCGUUAGGGUGGGGUGUGAAAUCCCUCGGCUUAACCGAGGAAUGGCGCUCCAAACCGGCGUGCUUGAGGAAGGUAGAGGUGAGCGGAACUGAUGGUGGAGCGGUGAAAUGCGUUGAUAUCAUCAGGAACACCGGAGGCGAAGGCGGCUCACUGGGCCUUUUCUGACGCUGAGGGACGAAAGCCAGGGUAGCGAACGGGAUUAGAUACCCCGGUAGUCCUGGCUGUAAACGAUGAGCACUAGGUCGGGGACCUCCCACAGGUCCUUGGCCGUAGCGAAAGUGUUAAGUGCUCCGCCUGGGGAGUAUGGUCGCAAGGCUGAAACUCAAAGGAAUUGACGGGGGCUCACACAAGCGGUGGAGAAUGUGGCUUAAUUCGAGGCUACGCGAAAAACCUUAUCCUGGUCUUGACAUGCUUAGGAACCCUGCUGAAAGGCAGGGGUGCCCUUCGGGGAGCCUUGGCACAGGUGCUGCAUGGCUGUCGUCAGCUCGUGUCGUGAGAUGUCGCGUUAAGUCGCUUAACGAGCGCAACCCCUGUCCCUAGUUGCCAGCGCGUAAUGGCGGGGACUCUAGGGAGACUGCCGGUGUUAAACCGGAGGAAGGUGGGGAUGACGUCAAGUCCUCAUGGCCUUUAUGACCAGGGCUGCACACGUCCUACAAUGGACCGCACAAAGGGAAGCCAACUCGUGAGAGCGUGGAGCCAAUCCCAAAAAACGGUCCUCAGUACGGAUUGUAGGCUGCAACCCGCCUACAUGAAGCUGGAAUCGCUAGUAAUCGCGGGUCAUCAUACCGCGGUGAAUGUGUUCCUGAGCCUUGUACACACCGCCCGUCAAGCCACGAAAUGGGGGGCGCCCGAAGUCGCCCAGCUAACCCGCAAGGGAGGCAGGCGCCGAAGGCGAACUCCGUGAUUGGGACUAAGUCGUAACAAGGUAACC